AUGGCAGUGCUCAGCCCAGAAGAAGGAAGUGCCUUCUAAAAGAAGCUGUCUAACGGAAGCAAACUGCAGCCUGAGAUAGUAUGAUCUUCAUCAGUGGAGGUACCCAAGCAUAAGAAGAGAAAACCCCUGAUAAGGAUGCUACAAUGGAGACCCAAGCAUCCAAUGAGUGCUUGAAGGAGAUAACAGCUAUUCUUCUUGAAUAUUCAAGAGUCAGAAAGUUUCAAAAAUACAUGUUUGCUGAAACUUCCUACUGAAUGUAAAGCUUUCUCAAUUAAUGACUUAAGAUGGUUACUGCUGCUCCAUGGAAGGAAAAUAGUCUUUCUUGUGUACGGAAUGCAAAUUGCCUCUUCUCGGAGUCUGCUCCCUUCGGACUGUCUUUGGAUGAACUUUGCAGUCUUCACUGAAGGGGGAACCCUUCCCCACUGUUCUCUGGGAGAGCCGCCCCUUUGAAGUCACAGCUGGCUUGACUAAACUCAUUUCCUCCCUCCACAAUGUGCCUCUGAUGCAGUGUUGGCUGAGGCUCCCCCUCGCCGGCUCCUGCCAUUGAACCAGACCCAAGUGCAAUGUUUAAUGGCUUGAUGGUGCUGUUGCUGUUUGAAUGCUUUCUGUGACUCAAGUGCACAUGGAGACACCCAUUCUAUGAACUUAAAUUGAUAACUCAGGAAUAUCCAGUCAGUAUACGAUUCGACAUGUCUGAAUAUUAAUGUUUUAGUCUUCGUUCAGUGGGUUGUUCAAAGACUUCAAAGCUGAGUGCUCAAGGCUCAGCAGAAUUUCCCAGCCAUGUAGCACUGAGAGUUCCAGUCACAAGUACUGAAAGAGGAAUGUCUUUUUAGCAUUUCUCUGUUCCCAUUGCAGCCUUGGAGAGGAACCCAGGGGAAGUCAUUACAAUAUUUCAGAACUGCCUACUAAGUCUUACUUUUAUCCUAGUGGUGGGUAGGCUUGGAUUAUUCUGCUGAACACAUCUGCCCUGAAUUUGCAUGUGUAAUGAAAAUGAUUCUUUGUUAAAUGUUUUUGUUAAAUUGUAUUUAAAUUUUUAUUUUGGAAUUUUCUGUUGUGGUCAGGAUACACGCUUUUCUAAUAGGAACUCCCUUAUGAAAAAAAAUAUGGAUAACCCAUAGUGGGUGGCUGUUAAGGGAAAGAGCAGCAGACUAGAAACACCACUGUAUAUAAUUUCAGCAAUUUCCAGCUGUUGGGAGGAAAAAGACGAUUGUCAUUAAAACAAAAUGCACACCGAGGUGUAGAUAGUAACAAAUCCUAACUGUGCAAUCAAUGGGUUUUAGAUAUUUACAUUCCAUAUUAUGUAUUAUAUAUAGAAUAUUUUCUGUAUCCCAGAGGGAUCCCUUCUGUCUCUUCCUAAUUCCACACUUCUACUGUCUACUCCUCUAAAUCAAGGAACAGAAACUUUGACUUUGCCAUCACCACAGUUUGUUUUAGUUCUUGGAUUUCACAUAAUUAAAUUAUACAUUGUGUAGUCUUUUGUGGUUAACUUUUUUCCUUCAUUCAUUUGUUGUUUUCUCUGUGAGAUUCAAGGUGAUGCUGCUUAUAGCAGACACCCCCAUUUGUUGUUAUAUAGUGUUCCAUGAUGUGAUUAUUCUGUAAUUUAUCAAUGCUACUAAAUAUUGGACACUGAAUUUUUGUAGCUUUUAGCUAUUUUGAUUACAACUGUUUUAAUCUUCUUAUAUGGUGAAUGGAGCCCAACAAAAGAGAAAGCCUUGAGGGCUGUUUAAAAUGGCUUUCAAGCUGGGCAGUGGUGGCGCACGCCUUUAAUCCCAGCACC